GUUGGCGUAGUUUAACCAAAGCAUAACACUGAAGAUGUUAAGAUGGGCCCUAGAAAGCCCCGCAGACA
rnacentral:tRNA from 1 species